UACGUAGGGUGCGAGCGUUGUCCGGAAUUACUGGGCGUAAAGAGCUCGUAGGUGGUUUGUCGCGUUGUUCGUGAAAACUCACAGCUUAACUGUGGGCGUGCGGGCGAUACGGGCAGACUGGAGUACUGCAGGGGAGACUGGAAUUCCUGGUGUAGCGGUGAAAUGCGCAGAUAUCAGGAAGAACACCCGUGGCGAAGGCGGCUCUCUGGAACGCAACUGACGCUGAGACGCGAAAGCGUGGGGAGCAAACAGG
rnacentral:rRNA from 1 species